rnacentral:tRNA from 1 species
AAGGUACUAGUAAAACAAAUUACAUUACUUUGUCAAGGUAAAAUCGCGAGUUAAAACCCCGCGUACCUUU